GGGCGUGUGAGUGGUGUUUGGUUUGUCGGGAUGGUAGGCUCCGUGCUAGCGCAUCGAACUGCCAGCCCGCAUUCCACUUCGUGGCCUCGAGCACGAUCAGUUCUUGCUCAGGGAUUAUGGUGUUCCUGUAUUUGAUACCCACGGUGGCGGAAAUCGGCUGAUAGCGAUUCGAUUCUCCGCUCGGUGCCUCCCUCGGGGGGUGCUGGGCGGACUAUGCAGCUUAGCCCGUCUUUCCUGGCACGCUUGUUGCGCUGCCUUGGACAGUGCGGGUUUAAUGCUCGUGCUUUCGGAUGCGGAAAAUUGCGUGGGCGGAGGGAGUUCGUCCUCCCUCCCGUAAGCCCAACUUGAGAAUGUCCCUCGAUUCGCACGACAACCUUUGCUCGCUGCGUUUUCCCCCUGCUCCCUCGGCGCGCGGGCGAAGCGUGCGGGCAUCCGGUGUCGCAGAAGGAACGCUACC
rnacentral:misc_RNA from 1 species